UAUAUAUAUGAGUUUGCAAACCUCAUAUUGUGAGCUAGCUUUUGAGUUAACUUUUUGAGAUGGAGCUAGGCAGGUUUAUAUCAUUUGGUAUCAAAGUCUCACCUUGCAUGAGUUGGUGGGCCAUGUACAAAGUGUCCCUGACGUUCUUCGGGAUAGGUCGGGGCGAACAAGUCAUGACCUCGGUCGCUUCAUGAGGAUGUUCAGUCUAAAGGGGUCGGGAAU
rnacentral:misc_RNA from 1 species